rnacentral:rRNA from 1 species
GAUGAACGCUAGCGGCAGGCCUAACACAUGCAAGUCGAGGGGCAGCACAGAAACAGCAAUGUUUUGGUGGCGACCGGCGGACGGGUGCGUAACGCGUAUGCGACCUACCUUUAACAGGGGGAUAACGGAGAGAAAUUUCCACUAAUACCCCAUAACAUCGAUCAAGGCAUCUUGAUUGGUUGAAAACUCCGGUGGUUAAAGAUGGGCAUGCGUUGUAUUAGGUAGUUGGUGAGGUAAUGGCUCACCAAGCCUACGUUACAUAGGGGGACUGAGAGGUUAGCCCCCCACACUGGUACUGAGACACGGACCAGACUCCUACGGGAGGCAGCAGUGAGGAAUAUUGGUCAAUGGGGGCAACCCUGAACCAGCCAUGCCGCGUGCAGGAAGACGGCUCUAUGAGUUGUAAACUGCUUUUAAACAGGGAUAAAGCACAGUAUGUAUACUGUGUUGAAGGUACUGUAAGAAUAAGGAUCGGCUAACUCCGUGCCAGCAGCCGCAGUAA